UACGUUCCCGGGCCUUGUACACACCGCCCGUCACACCACGAAAGUCGGUAACACCCGAAGCCGGUGGCCCAACCCUUGUGGAGGGAGCCGUCGAAGGUGGGAUCGGCGAUUGGGGUGAAGUCGUAACAAGGUACCC
rnacentral:rRNA from 1 species